UGUUAAAAAACUAACGGAAUAGUCACGUGAGACACACGUGACUUUUAAAAAACAAACUCAGUCCUGUUAAUUUGAAACCAGAUGGAUUGAAGAAAACAAAGGAGAGUUAGGUCUGGCCGGAGAGAAAAGAGAAAGAGGCAGCCACAGCAGAACGUCACCCAUCAUCUCUUCGCCCGAGUCCCAACGGCGCUUGGUGGUUCUGCCGCUCUGUUUGACAGCCACCACUUGUCAUAGAUGUUUUGCUUGCUACAAGCAGUAUAACAAAAAGGAGAACCUAGUGCUGCACAAAUGUUCUGCUUGACACAUUUGUUUAUUGUAAAUCUUUUGAAUCACUAAGGCAGCAUGUUAUUGGAUUGUAAUGUAUGUAACUACUUUGAAUGGCACGAUAUUGAAUUCACCCCAAGGAGCAAAAGUGUUAUUAAUGGACUACUGGACACCAACCGAAGACUUAAGAAUGAAGCAGCAAUGAAUAAGAGGAUUUUUAAGUGGCUUAGUGUUUUUUGGUGGUUUCUUGGAUCAUCAGGGGAUUGCGGUAGCCUUUUAUUUAGUAUUGAGUUUUAAUGUUAGACGUCAUCUUUACAUGAAGUGACUAUUGAUGUAGGA